GCGACUCGAAUGUUACCGUUGCAUCAAGCCCCCUUCGUCGCCUUCUCUUGGCACUUAUCCUAAUCUUCACGAGGGGUAGAUUGGCCAGCAAGACUAGGACCAGUUGAACUGCUUGACUCGGUCCGCGUCGAAGCUCAUUAGAAUGAUGACCUUGCCAGUCGCUGCUGGUCCGGCUCUGUUUGGCCUGGGUCGACACGGUGAUCCCCAUUUUGGUAGUAGAUGAUGGCGACGAGGGCAGCCCGAGCGCUGAUCCAUGCCUACUGCCGCCGGAAGAACCAAUGCCAUUGCAAGAGGCACUCGACGAGCUUCCCAGCGAUGAUAACAGCCAUAACCGGCGCCGGCGAACUUGGGGUCGCCGUUGAGGUAAAUUUGAUGAGAUAGGGCCCACCUAGGAAGAGAGGGUGUGUGGGAUCGCAUAGACCGCCUUCAUCCGACCGGGCUGCGACGCUCGAAGCAAACGGACCAGGAGUCCAGGUUGUUUCGGAAGACGCGCUCGACUUCCUCGCACCACGCGCAGAUGCCCCCAUGCGCACAAAGACGACUACUACGGUGGACCGUGACGCAGAUGGCAUGAAUGCAUCAGCUCAGUGACAGGGUCUCACACGCCGGCGAAAAUAAAAAACAGGGUAGAAGGUCACAAAGUAGCAUAGGGGACAAGAAUCUGAGAUUGCAUACUAGAUUUGUUUCUUGUUUUCUUGAAAAUAAAAUAGAUCUCCACUGUUUUAGGGUACAAUACAUUUUAAGCAAGUUGGGGUUUUAUUGAGGUUUUAGGCUAAACGUGGAAACAGUCACUUGGCGGUAUCAAUCCGACCAGUCCGAAGCAUUACAACCAAAUCCGACCCGACCCAAAUAAUACCUGUUUUCGCUUCACGGAUUGCUCCGGGGCACGCAUUUGAAGGAGCCUACGAUUAGGGUUUUUGCAUCUCCCGUGUCCUUCACCGAUGGAGGAAGUCACCGAGGGUGUUAACAAUCUCCAGAUCUCGUCUGCUGAUUCCCACAAGAAGAACCGAAUCCAGGUGUCCAAUACCAAGAAGGCCCCUCUUCUUCUACGUUAAUCUCGACAAGAGAUACAUGCAGCAACAUAAUGAGGUCGAGCUGUCAGCUCUUGGAAUGGAUUGAGAUAUUAUUGGGGAAGACGGAGAACUUCGAUGAACUGAUGGCUGCUGCAGCUGAGGAGAGGGAGCUGAUAGAUGGCGAGGAGAAAAGCUGAAUUUAGGUGGUGUUUGAUUUUCUCUUAAGAAUCAGAAUGAGAAUAGAUAUCAGAGUAUUGUGGAAUGAGAAUGAGUAUAA